GGGCCCAGCAGCCUAAAACAUCUACAGCAGAGUUUAUUCCCCCCCCCCCCGCUCCUCUUUUGGAAGUGCAACUGAUUUAGUCAGAAAGAAAGCAUGGAUCCAGGAACAGCUCUCCCCAAGCUGGAUGAAAGCAAUUACGAAACUUGACGAUUUCUCAGCUCACAUGGCCAACCUUUUAGAGAUGAACAGAUUUCUAAAACAAUGUGGAUCUGAAUUAAAUGAGCAAAUGUUUAUCGGACUGAUUUUACAAUCUUUGCCUCAAAGUUUUGAGCCUGUGACCAUGGCUCUGGAAGCAUCAGGCACUAAGCUUAAAUUGCAAAGCGUUAUAGCAAGUCUGGGGAAUUUUAGCUUUAAAAGGGAACAAGAAAGUUCUAAAAGAGAGGGGAGAAAUAAAUAAAUUCUGCUGUAGAUGUUUUAGGCUGCUGGGCCCAUAACCCUGUUGGAGGGCGAAUUUACCAGUGAUGUUAAUUAGCAGAGCACUAAAGAAGCUACCCCCACUCUGUAACUGGAAUGCAGAGUUUAGUUGUUGCAGCUAUUUAUAGAAGACAUAUGGAGAUUCUUGUAGAAUCUAGAUACAAAGUAGAUUUAUUGGUGAAGUACACUUUGGAUAGGAAAGACCUAAUCCUAUAUAUAGGCUCUACAAGGUCUAACAGAAACAAAACAAAACAAAAAAGCAGUUCUGUGCAGGCAAGACAACACUCUUGAACCAGCCUUCUGCCACUGAGAGCCAGUCACUGUGGUGAGAUGUCUCUGGCUGGGAAGACCAGACUUCAAACUACUGCAUGAAGCUUGGUGGUGAGGUUGUGACCACUCUCCUUCCGCCCUUCCUCAGGGGUUGUUCUGGGGAGAACCCAGUGUAAGCUGCCCUGAUUUCCAGCAAGGACAGGUAGAAUUAACAACGAUCAAGUCAUGAGAAAGAAUCAGCAAGAGGUAUUUCAGGAUCGCCGCAAAGGCAACUCAACUCACCACAUAUUUGGCCGCCUGAUGGAGCACACGAUGGAGGCUAUAGGUUUUGGGGUCUACCCGCCACCUCACCUCUGGGACCAGCUGUUUCAGAGUGGCCUUUGUUGCCUGCAAUACAAGCAGAGUUGAACUUCAAGACCUAAAGACAGACAGCACUGAUAGCUUUUCAUCAGAUGCUCCCUCCAGUGGCAGCUUCUCCAGGAUGAAGCUGACCUUGACCAGCCCUUCCUAUUGAUUUCUCCUUCUCCUACCUAUGUUUACUUGGGAGUAAGUGCCACUAAGAACAGGAACUUUCCCAGAUGGCCAGUUUUACUGCAGCAGGAAGUGACUGAAAUUAAGCCAUUUUGAGCAAUGCACCAAAGUACUACUUUUUGUAGGACACAUAUAAUGUGUCAUAACUGCAAAUCAGGAGGAACGCUGAAUAAGGCUUAACAACAAGGGACUGCUGUAAAUGGAUCCUUCGUAUGAACUCUUCCCUUACCCCACCUAAAUGUUGCAAAGCUGCAUUAAAUUGCCAUUUGGAAAAGCUCCAGGAGUUAUUCCCAGUUUGCAACUCGGCCAUCAGUGGUGGUUUUCCAAUCUAAAUAGUGCUCCCAGAAUGCAGGUCUGGGAGGUUUUCCAAUCUAAAUGCAGUGGUGGUUUUCCAAUCUAAAUAGUGGUCCUUAAAUGCAGUGGUGGUUUUCCAAUCUAAAUAGUGCUCCCAGAAUGCAGGUGUGCUGUUUAAAGUAUUUGUACACUUGCGCCAAAGUGCAAGAAUGCCAGUGCUUCACUGUGAGCAUGUGCAAGUGGAUCAGCACCACCGACAUUAGACUGCAUUGGAUGUUGGCCAGUAUGCAAAAGAUGACUUGCAACUCUAACCUUUCUCUUCUGGAAUGUUUUUGAAGGGAACAACCUUUGGUCUAUUAUUCAGACUGCUGGCAACUUGAAGAGCCAGAGAAGGAACAGCCCACGGGUGGUUCAGGCUUUCCAUCUGCCCUCAGUUUAGCUCUUUACCCCAGGAGGACCAUGGCCCCCCUUCUAGCCUCAACACCACUGUUCAGUCCAGUGUGGAAGCCAAGUCAAAAGCAAAUGGCAAUGAGCAGCUGAGGGACACACAAGGCGGCCUGGGAACUCUGAUCACACUGAGCAACUGCAUUUAAAGAUACCGUGGCCUUGGGUUUACUGAACUGCCUAGGAAGAUAAGACGCUGAAGGCUGACGCUGAAGGUUGAAAGCUGCACGCGAUGGGAGCAAAGCACAGAAAGAAAAUCUCCAAAGAUAAAAAAGGUGGGAAAAUGCCCCGUCCCGCAUUAAACAACUUCUUGACUAAAACCGGAGGAGGAAAGAACACUCCCACAGAAAGGAAGGAACCACUUUUCACUCAGCUUCCUCAAUCUGUUCCACUAAAUGAUAAUCAGAAGGGAAACGUGGAGGAUGCUUUCGUGCUGCUGAAUUCCUCAGUGAACCCAGAAGUAAGCACUUGUAAUAAUCCUAUGGAAUGCUCUUUUGAUUGUAACUCUCCCUUGACUUUUUGCAGCAGCAGUGAGGAGAGUGCAGUGAGUGAACCUUCUCUUAUUCUUUGGAUAAUUCUGUCACGCAAAGGCAAGCCCCUUGUCAGAGACCUUCAUUGGAUUCUGUUGAGGGAGUCUCUUCUAGCAUGGCUUUCUUGGUGCAAGAGUCUUUAAAGCUCCUAUUCCAUUGCUUAUCGUUAAUAACUGAACAGCUAGAUACGUUGAUUAUUGAGCUGAGGAGGGACUCUAAGCCCUCCUCAAUGGCUGAUACUGCAAUAUUUAAGGAAGCCCCUGUCAUCGUCGAUGUCAGUGUGCAGACUGAUACUUAUUUUAAUAUUUUACCAGCCUCAAGGAACUUGAGAGCUCAUUAUAAUCCUAGUGGGUCAGCUUCACAGUCAACUCCGGCUGACGCUGCAUUCAGCCAGGAAAAGUUCUGUUUUCAAUUAGUCUACCAACCUUAGUGGAAUUCUAAAGAACAAAUUGUUAGUUCUCUUGCAUCUUUGUUAGCUUUUGCUCACAAUGCCAUUUACCUUGAUUCCUUUUUUAUUUUGGACCCUAUUAUGCCUCAUAUGCAAAAAUUGCAGUUUACAUUUGCCAGGGCUUUGAUUCCACAGUCCUUACUACAUAUGAAGAACCAUCUGGCUAAAUGGGAUAUUUAUCCCAGAUGAGUUUUCAUGGAGCUUAGGAAGCUAAAUGUAAGUCACACAGGGUCCUCUCUGAAGAACUGAAGGGAGUCUAGGGUGAACAUAGAGAAGCCUUCCACGAGCUAUCUGUCUAGAAGGCAUUCCGCUAGGGGGCAUCAGGUCAUAUAUAAAACAGAUCAGGUGAGCUAUCUAUCUUCUGCUCCCUCGGUCUGCGCUCCAAGUUCUGGCCCCGCGGCCUUUUCUGUGAGGGUUUGUUCCCCUCUCCACCUAAGUUAGCUUUGAUCCCCCUGGGAGAAUCUGAGGAUUUCUUUCCCUUGAUUUUGUCGGAAGUUGGAGCGCCCUUGGAGUCGCCCGUACCCGACCACCACUAUGGUCAGUUAAUCCCCCCUGAGAAGUUUCUUGAUGUCCCCUUAGUUAUGGCAAUGGAUGAGUUGUCUAAAAUGAAGGAAGUACAAAAUCCUCCCAUUUACACCCAUUCCUUGGAAUCAUCUGAUGAGGAGAGUGAUUUACUCCGGGAACCUAGAUCCCUCCUUAAGGAUGGACUGUGGUCUAAUAUUUCCAAAUUGUCCCAUCUUGAAACCAUUCUGACAGAAAACUGCAAACAUCUGAAGAGCGUUUUGUAGGCGAAUCCUGGGAGAUCGGUUAAUACUCCCAACCCCUCUUGCAAGGGGCUCCCUCCCAAUCUAGCUCUUAGAGAAGGUCCCUUGAGCUCUGAGCCUUUUGGACUUGUACCACACUGGACACAAACCAAAAUCACCAACUUUUUUCCUCCUGCAGUUAGACAGUAUCGCCUGUUGAUCCAGACAUCAGCCUACGCUCAGAGAUGACUGUUUGGGCUGCAGCCAUCUUGGAGUGGAUUGCCAAAUGCAUCUUAUAACUCAGCGUAUUCCUCUGAUGCCAUGUUCAGCUUUAAAGGAGAGUCUUCCCACUGGGAUAUGCUUCUGUGCGAUAUGUUCAGCCAUCCUAGUGAUUUAGUCACACAUGAGCCUUCUCUUCCUACAGGCUCGAAACAUAGUGUUUCUGGUUGUAACCAUAUAAAUUGGAGUUUUAUUAGUUGGAAUAUAGCGGGGUGGGCUGGGAAAAGAUGUAACCUAGCAUUUUUAUCUUUUUUACAAAAGUGGGAUGCAGGGGCGUAGCUAGGGAAGAGGGGGCCCGUGUUCAUCCCUCUCUCUGGUGGCCCCUCAGAUUGAGGAAGACAGUGGAGAAAAUAGGGAGGGAUGGAGCUGGAGGGCCGUCAGGAACUGGGGGCCCGUGUUCUUUGAACCCUUUCGCUCAAUUAUAGCUACGCCCCUGGUGGGAUGUGUUACUGCUGCAGGAAACAUGGUCUAAGGAAGAUUUAAAUAUCAACGGCUAUGUGAUUUAUAAAUUGUUGCCCACUCUGACUCCAAUAGGUGAAGACUUAAAAGGGGGCUUGGCUUGCUGUGUUUUGCUUUCCUUAGAACUGGACUCCCUACGGUUGCUUGACUUUUUUCCUUUUGCAAUGGCUGUUCUCAUUAAAACCCCAUGUGAGGACAUAUUGUUAAUUAAUGUUUGCAUCCCCCCCCCCGGUUCCUCUUAUGGCCCUAUGGCUGCCAUUUGGGAUCAACUGGACUCUUAUAUCCUGGAAACUAGUUUGAAGAUCCCGUGCGCUGAGAUUCUGCUCUUGGGUGAUUUCAAUGCAAGAUGUGGCCCGGAUAAUAAUGAAGUAAACGCCUCCCAUUUGUGGAGUGGGGGUGAUAACUCAGAUGGUUCCUUUACCCAUAUUUGCUUAUCUAAAGAUAGAGUCCUUAAUAAGGCAGGGGCUAAAUUGUUACAUCUUGCUAGAUCUUUUGAUCUGAUUCCUUUAAAUGGCACUGUCCCCCCUGUCAUCCCAGGUGAAUUUACAUAUUUAUCCUCUUGUGGCAGCAGUGCGGUGGACUAUAUUUUGGUUUCUCCCCUGCUGUUUAAUUGGGUCAUAGUGUUUGAAGUGGGCGAUCAAGCUUUUAGAGAUCACCUGCCCCUUCUUUUUUGCCUUGAUAUACCACGAGCUAGAAAAGAUUGUUUUAUUUCUAGCUCAGUUGAAUCCUUCCCUACUAAAAUGGGAUGGAAGGUAAAAUGGUCACCUGAUGUGGAAAGGGCAUUGAAUAUCCUGUAUUCUUCUGCAGUUGGCAUUGAGUUAUAUAACUGUGUUGUGCAGGCCCUGCCAGGAGCGCUAGCAAUCUCCUGUUAUGAGAAGCUUGAGGCUGAGGUUUCGCAAAAGAUCCUGACUACAGGUCAACUGCACUCUUUCUAGAGAGGUAGGAUGAACGACUCUAAUGAGUGGUUUGACUCCCAGUGCAGGGAUCUGCUUCCCAGGCUGAGGGGCAUAUAUAGGGAAUACAGAGCUGGUUCCAACCAAGUGCUCCCUCCAGAAUAUUUUACAACUAAGAAAGCUUAUAAAAUAUGUGUGAGGUCUGCCAAGUCCCAGACACAGAAAAAUAUCUGGAGGAGAUUAAUUUUGGCCACUCAUAAUAAGGAUAGUGGUGCCUUCUGGCACAUUAUUUCAGGUUCUACAUAUCCUAGAGUGCUUUUUGUGGUUCCCGCACCCGCUUGGGUAGCCCACUUUCAUGCUCCCUUUAAUGGAGCUUCGGCCUCUUUGGGUAAUGAUCCCUCCACCCUUGAGAAGUUGCCCUUGUGGCCACCUCUUACACUGGAUGAUACAGUUAAUCUAGUUAGAGGUCUAAAGAAAAAGAAAGCGCCUGCUUCUGAUCUCAUUUUCCCUGUAGACAGUAUUAGGUAACCUUGAUUGGUGGGCUCAUGUCCUAGCCAGUUUGUUUACCUCGAUUAAUAACACAGGUGUUAUUCCCUCUUCCUGGAGUGAGGCCAUUGUGGUCCCUAUUUAUAAACAUGGCUCCCCCUCCAUCCCUUCCAACUAUAGACCCAUUAGCUUGUUAUCGGUGAUAGGCAAACUUUACGCCCAUUAUCUUUUGGAUAAGUUGGAGGGCUGGACGCUGGAGUACCAUAUUCUAGGCCCCGAGCAGGCAGGAUUCAGGGCUGGCCACUCGAAGCUAGAUCACUGUAUGGUAUUAUACCAUCUGGCAUGCAAGUACACAGGGUAAACUCUUUGUCGCAUUCAUGGAUUUGCGAGCUGCUUUUGAUUCCAUACCAAGAGAGGUACUAUGGGCUAAACUUCUUUUGUUGUUUGUAGUGAAAUAUCUAUUGAUAAAAGGCUCUUAUUCCUAAUCAGACGACUUUAUGCCAAUUCCACAAUCAAAGUUAGAUAUGAUCCUUCAGGGGCCCUAACUGAGCAUAUUCCUACCACCCGAGGAGUCAGGCAAGCUUGUCUGCUGGCACCUGCAUUGUUUAGUUUAUUUAUUAAUGACCUGGUCCAGGUUUUGGGAAGGGCAGAUGCCCAUUCUCCUAAAUUGGCAGAUGUAAGAGCACUGGCGUUGUUAUAUGCUGAUGACAUGGCGCUUUUAUCUCAGUCUCGGCUUGGCUUAAUGAGACUCUUGGAGGCAUUUGCCAAGUAUUGUAAUAUAAACAAACUUUCCAUUAACUUUGAUAAAUCAAAGGUUUUGGUAUCUCGAAUUCUAGGAAAGUUUAUAAAUGCAGGAUCAACCAGACCAGUAUAGAACAAGUCACCAAGUUCAAAUACCUUGGGACCUAUUUCCAAUCCAACUUGAACUGGAAAUCGCAGCAGUUACAUGUUAUCUCCCUGGCACGUAACACACUAUAUGCCUUUUUGUGCUUUUUUAAUGGAAAAGGUGGCUAAUUUAUACCAAUGGCUUUGCGAGUGUUUUGAGCCAAGAUUGUGGCUCAAAUGCUCUUCAGAGUCGCUAUCUGGAUCCAAGGGGUCCAUCCAGAUAUCGAAUCGAUCCAGUCUAAAUUCCUUAGAGCCAUUUUCAGAGUUCCCAAAUGUGUAUCUUACGCUGCUUUAUGUUUGGAGACCAGCUCUUAUCCGAUCUCCUGUUUAGCUUGGGAGGCCUCAUUCACACGCUGGCUGCUGCUGCUGCUGCUGCUGCUUCUUCUUCUUCUUCUUCUUCUUAUUAUUAUUAUUAUUAUUAUUAUUAUUAUUAUUAUUAAUUCAAUUUCUAUACCGCCCUUCCAAAAAUGGCUCAGGGCGGUUUACAAAGAGAGAUAACAAACAAAUAAGAUGGCUCCCUGUCCCCAAAGGGCUCACAUUCUAAAAAGAAACAUAAGACACACACCAGCAACAGUCACUGGAAGUACUGUGCUGGGGGUGGAUAGGGCCAGUUACUCUCCCCCUGCUAAAUAAAGAGAAUCACCAUGGUAAAAGGUGCCUCUUUGCCCAGUUAGCAGGCUUAAACUCUGUUUAGACCCUGAGGGACCUUCAUAUGUUCAACAUAUGUGGAGAGACACCUUCCCUAAUCCAUGGUUGUCUGUUGUCACCAACAAAUUGUUGGGCAUGGGGCUUUCCCCCUCUCACAUUUUCUCCUUGGGUUUUGUGAAGGCGAAGGCUAUUGUCAUUCAGCACCUAAAGGAUAUUGAGUACCAACACCUACUUGACUUUGGAAACAAUAUUGUUCCCCUUUGUACCUUGGCAUUUCCCCUCCAGCUGGAAAACAGGCUGCUAGUUAUCAAACCACUCUUCAUUUUGUUAAAUUUAGGCCAGCCUUUGCUACGGCUAGGCUGAAUGUAUUACCUUCAGCCUUGCUUCAAAAGAGGUUCUCUAAAGAACCCCCUGUUUCCGGGUUGUGUCUAUGUGGGGAGGGUAGUUUGGAAACAGUCACUCAUAUUCCUUUAUACUGUUCCCUUUAUCGUGAUUCUAGGAAUGAAUUACUGCAUCCAUUACUAGAGCAAUUCCCUGGUAGGUCUGAUCCUUUUUAUCUUAAUUAUUGUUUAGCUGAUACCAAUGAUGAAGUCACCAAAGUGGUAGCCAAAUUUAUUUAUGGGGUGAUGAGACAGACAUCCUGCCACGGACUUUUAUAAGUUUGAUCUUAUGGUAGUUUUAGUCUUACUUGUAUGUAUUGUUAUAUUUAUUCUGCUUAUUGUAAUUCUGAAUGGCUGUGUUAUUGUCACUUUUGUUUUUGUUUGGCUUAUGGCUGCAAUAAAAGAACUACUACUACUA